GGGCACGAAAGCGGUAAUCUUCUUGCCGUUCUUGAUGAGCUGCACCCUCACGCACUUGCGGAUGGCAGAGUUGGGCUGUUUGGCUUCAACGCCACUGCAAGUAAACAAAUUUCAAUCGAUCAGCAUACAGUUGGCUACACAUUUGACACAACAAAACACAAAAAUAUACUGCGAGGCGUCAAGACGCCGAUUCUUUCGGCACACACACACUU